rnacentral:rRNA from 1 species
UUAAGCGACUAAGCGUACACGGUGGAUGCCCUGGCAGUCAGAGGCGAUGAAGGACGUGCUAAUCUGCGAUAAGCGUCGGUAAGGUGAUAUGAACCGUUAUAACCGGCGAUUUCCGAAUGGGGAAACCCAGUGUGAUUCGUCACACUAUCAUUAACUGAAUCCAUAGGUUAAUGAGGCGAACCGGGGGAACUGAAACAUCUAAGUACCCCGAGGAAAAGAAAUCAACCGAGAUUCCCCCAGUAGCGGCGAGCGAACGGGGAGCAGCCCAGAGCCUGAAUCAGUGUGUGUGUUAGUGGAAGCGUCUGGAAAGGCGUGCGAUACAGGGUGACAGCCCCGUACACAAAAAUGCACAUACUGUGAGCUCGAUGAGUAGGGCGGGACACGUGGUAUCCUGUCUGAAUAUGGGGGGACCAUCCUCCAAGGCUAAAUACUCCUGACUGACCGAUAGUGAACCAGUACCGUGAGGGAAAGGCGAAAAGAACCCCGGCGAGGGGAGUGAAAAAGAACCUGAAACCGUGUACGUACAAGCAGUGGGAGCACGCUUAGGCGUGUGACUGCGUACCUUUUGUAUAAUGGGUCAGCGACUUAUAUUCUGUAGCAAGGUUAACCGAAUAGGGGAGCCGAAGGGAAACCGAGUCUUAACUGGGCGUUAAGUUGCAGGGUAUAGACCCGAAACCCGGUGAUCUAGCCAUGGGCAGGUUGAAGGUUGGGUAACACUAACUGGAGGACCGAACCGACUAAUGUUGAAAAAUUAGCGGAUGACUUGUGGCUGGGGGUGAAAGGCCAAUCAAACCGGGAGAUAGCUGGUUCUCCCCGAAAGCUAUUUAGGUAGCGCCUCGUGAAUUCAUCUCCGGGGGUAGAGCACUGUUUCGGCAAGGGGGUCAUCCCGACUUACCAACCCGAUGCAAACUGCGAAUACCGGAGAAUGUUAUCACGGGAGACACACGGCGGGUGCUAACGUCCGUCGUGAAGAGGGAAACAACCCAGACCGCCAGCUAAGGUCCCAAAGUCAUGGUUAAGUGGGAAACGAUGUGGGAAGGCCCAGACAGCCAGGAUGUUGGCUUAGAAGCAGCCAUCAUUUAAAGAAAGCGUAAUAGCUCACUGGUCGAGUCGGCCUGCGCGGAAGAUGUAACGGGGCUAAACCAUGCACCGAAGCUGCGGCAGCGACACUAUGUGUUGUUGGGUAGGGGAGCGUUCUGUAAGCCUGUGAAGGUGUACUGUGAGGUAUGCUGGAGGUAUCAGAAGUGCGAAUGCUGACAUAAGUAACGAUAAAGCGGGUGAAAAGCCCGCUCGCCGGAAGACCAAGGGUUCCUGUCCAACGUUAAUCGGGGCAGGGUGAGUCGACCCCUAAGGCGAGGCCGAAAGGCGUAGUCGAUGGGAAACAGGUUAAUAUUCCUGUACUUGGUGUUACUGCGAAGGGGGGACGGAGAAGGCUAUGUUGGCCGGGCGACGGUUGUCCCGGUUUAAGCGUGUAGGCUGGUUUUCCAGGCAAAUCCGGAAAAUCAAGGCUGAGGCGUGAUGACGAGGCACUACGGUGCUGAAGCAACAAAUGCCCUGCUUCCAGGAAAAGCCUCUAAGCAUCAGGUAACAUCAAAUCGUACCCCAAACCGACACAGGUGGUCAGGUAGAGAAUACCAAGGCGCUUGAGAGAACUCGGGUGAAGGAACUAGGCAAAAUGGUGCCGUAACUUCGGGAGAAGGCACGCUGAUAUGUAGGUGAAGUCCCUCGCGGAUGGAGCUGAAAUCAGUCGAAGAUACCAGCUGGCUGCAACUGUUUAUUAAAAACACAGCACUGUGCAAACACGAAAGUGGACGUAUACGGUGUGACGCCUGCCCGGUGCCGGAAGGUUAAUUGAUGGGGUCAGCGCAAGCGAAGCUCUUGAUCGAAGCCCCGGUAAACGGCGGCCGUAACUAUAACGGUCCUAAGGUAGCGAAAUUCCUUGUCGGGUAAGUUCCGACCUGCACGAAUGGCGUAAUGAUGGCCAGGCUGUCUCCACCCGAGACUCAGUGAAAUUGAACUCGCUGUGAAGAUGCAGUGUACCCGCGGCAAGACGGAAAGACCCCGUGAACCUUUACUAUAGCUUGACACUGAACAUUGAGCCUUGAUGUGUAGGAUAGGUGGGAGGCUUUGAAGUGUGGACGCCAGUCUGCAUGGAGCCGACCUUGAAAUACCACCCUUUAAUGUUUGAUGUUCUAACGUUGACCCGUAAUCCGGGUUGCGGACAGUGUCUGGUGGGUAGUUUGACUGGGGCGGUCUCCUCCUAAAGAGUAACGGAGGAGCACGAAGGUUGGCUAAUCCUGGUCGGACAUCAGGAGGUUAGUGCAAUGGCAUAAGCCAGCUUGACUGCGAGCGUGACGGCGCGAGCAGGUGCGAAAGCAGGUCAUAGUGAUCCGGUGGUUCUGAAUGGAAGGGCCAUCGCUCAACGGAUAAAAGGUACUCCGGGGAUAACAGGCUGAUACCGCCCAAGAGUUCAUAUCGACGGCGGUGUUUGGCACCUCGAUGUCGGCUCAUCACAUCCUGGGGCUGAAGUAGGUCCCAAGGGUAUGGCUGUUCGCCAUUUAAAGUGGUACGCGAGCUGGGUUUAGAACGUCGUGAGACAGUUCGGUCCCUAUCUGCCGUGGGCGCUGGAGAACUGAGGGGGGCUGCUCCUAGUACGAGAGGACCGGAGUGGACGCAUCACUGGUGUUCGGGUUGUCAUGCCAAUGGCACUGCCCGGUAGCUAAAUGCGGAAGAGAUAAGUGCUGAAAGCAUCUAAGCACGAAACUUGCCCCGAGAUGAGUUCUCCCUGACUCCUUGAGAGUCCUGAAGGAACGUUGAAGACGACGACGUUGAUAGGCCGGGUGUGUAAGCGCAGCGAUGCGUUGAGCUAACCGGUACUAAUGAACCGUGAGGCUUAACCU